AUGUUUCUUAUUGCAAAAAUUGUUCGUGGUCGGCGACUUCUGCACGAGCUUGAGAAGCAGGAGAAGGAUGAGCACUUGGCAGCCGAUGCAGCUGCACAAUCGAAUGCACAGGCAAACUGGAGAGGAAGCGAGUCUAGCCCAACAGGAGAUGACCGCGGGGGAGAAUCUUCACAGUUCAGGCCGAAACGAAGGUAUUACUAGAUUGUUGAUUUUUGAAGUUUUUUUUGUUGAAAAUUUACUUCCUUGAUUAAAAGUUUCGUGCAAUAUCAGCAUGACCAUUUCUUAAAACCCAUUAAAUAUUGUCUUUACAUCGCCUGUCGCCCACAACUAAUUCGUCAAUCUGGCACCUCGUUAUCUUUUUUUCUGUUGCGAGAAACACAUAUGGCAUAGGGAAUCACAAGCAUGACAUUAUUUUAUGAUCAUGAAAAAAUACCGUAGUUAUUUCACAUUUUCAUAAUGCGAAGCGUGAGUUCUAGCCGGACCGUUCGAAAGAAAACUGGUGGAGGAUCGGUCGACUCAAACAUGGAAGACGGCAAGCAAGCAAGAAAAAGCAGCAGUAUGCCAAGUAUCUAUGAUUUACAACAACAAGCAGCACCACCGACGCCUGCCUUGAAACACUACAUCUACGACACUCGCUUGAGCAAAAUACAGAAGCGUGCAAUCAGAUUCACCUGGCACCGACUACAGACUAGAAACGGAGGAAAAAGAGUGGAAAAUGUUUUUGAAGAAGUUUUUGACAAGCUCGUGAAAAAUCUGCCAAACAUAAGAGAUAUGUUCUCGACGAGGAUGUUUCUAUGUGCAAUGUCACGUGGAACUACUUCCACAUUACGGGAUCACUCAAAAAACUGUGUGAAAAUGAUUGACUCUGUCAUAAAGAAUUUUGAUGUGGAAAAGUCGAAGAGAACGGACACUAGCUCUGAAAACGACCCGAGAGUAAUUGGACGUGCACAUAGCAUCUUGAAGCCAUAUGGUCUUGCUGGAAACUACUGGGAAAAGUUUGGAGAAGUGAUGAUUGAUGUGGUACUGGCGCAAGAGGCAGUGCGAGAUCUUCCGGGAGCUGGACAGGCUUGGGUAAUUUUUACCGCUUGCUUGGUGGAUCAGAUGAGAGCUGGAUUUGAUGAGAACAGAAAAACUGACCAUGAAGCUCAAAUGAAAAAAAACACGGUUUUGCACCACGCUACGCAGCAGCUAUUGGAAGACAAUGUGGCAUCCACCUCAGCAACAACUGCAUCGUCUGGAAAUGGUGAGUGUUCGAGCUCCAACCAACCAUCCACGAGCUCCAAUCAACCGUUGGCAUGCCCAUUUGCAAGAAUGUCUCUGACGCCUAAGGACGCUCGUGUGAUCGAAAGUCUCUCCGGUAGCGGCGGCAGCGGCAGCAGCGGUAACGGAGACAUCAGUGACCUCUCGGGAACAAUCUAUUUGUAA
rnacentral:misc_RNA from 1 species